GUGCUCGCUUCGGCAGCACAUAUACUAAAAUUGGAACGAUACAGAGAAGAUUAACAUGGCCCUUGCGCAAGGAUCCUCCUGUUUCUAGUCUCGCAAAUUCUG